CGGGGGGCAGCAGUGGGGAAUUUUGGACAAUGGGGGAAACCCUGAUCCAGCCAUUCCGCGUGUGCGAUGAAGGCCUUCGGGUUGUAAAGCACUUUUGGCAGGAAAGAAAUCGCACGGGUUAAUAACCCGUGUGGAUGACGGUACCUGCAGAAUAAGCACCGGCUAACUACGUGCCAGCAGCCGCGGUAAUACGUAGGGUGCAAGCGUUAAUCGGAAUUACUGGGCGUAAAGCGUGCGCAGGCGGUUCGGAAAGAAGGAUGUGAAAUCCCAGGGCUUAACCUUGGAACUGCAUUCUUAACUACCGGGCUAGAGUAUGUCAGAGGGAGGUGGAAUUCCGCGUGUAGCAGUGAAAUGCGUAGAUAUGCGGAGGAACACCGAUGGCGAAGGCAGCCUCCUGGGAUAAUACUGACGCUCAUGCACGAAAGCGUGGGGAGCAAACAGGAUUAGAUACCCGAGU
rnacentral:rRNA from 1 species